rnacentral:rRNA from 1 species
UACGUAUGGUGCAAGCGUUAAUCGGAAUUACUGGGCGUAAAGCGUGCGCAGGCGGCUUUGCAAGACAGAUGUGAAAUCCCCGGGCUCAACCUGGGAACUGCAUUUGUGACUGCAUGGCUGGAGUGCGGCAGAGGGGGAUGGAAUUCCGCGUGUAGCAGUGAAAUGCGUAGAUAUGCGGAGGAACACCGAUGGCGAAGGCAAUCCCCUGGGCCUGCACUGACGCUCAUGCACGAAAGCGUGGGGAGCAAACAGG